CAUGAAUGUUCUACUCCUUUGCCCUAUAUUUAUUCAUCCCUUCUCCUCGAUUUGAAUUUUGAACAGGCCCCUACCUUCAAUUUCAAAGGGUUUACAUGGGAUUCUUAAGGGACAAGCGGAAUUCAUCUUCUUCAUCAACAACCACUUCUCCUUGUGCCGAUCUCAGAGCUGCUUACCACAAUUGCUUCAACAGGUGGUAUUCGGAGAAGUUCUUGAAGGGUCAUUGGGAUAAAGAAGAAUGCGUUUCGGAGUGGGAGAAGUACAAAGAUUGUUUAUCUAAACACUUGGAAGACAAGAAUUUGAGCCGCUUUCUGGAGGCCGAAGGAGUGAAGAGAAUACCUGCUUCCAUUUCCAAAUGAGCCAUGCUUGUUUUAAUUUGAAGUGGUCUGAUUGAAUUGAUGGGAAGAACAUGCAGGUCCCAAACUUGUUCAAUUUCUGCAGCUCCAAUCAACCAGAAUCUACCACUGAAUACUAAUUGGGCUGAUUCUGGCCAGCAAAUGAGAUAGAAGUAGCUUCUACUCGAAAGCAUCCUUAAAAAGAUGAUUCAGAAAUAAAGGGAGAGAAGGAAGAUGAUGAGGGUGUUUCUACAGGUUAUAGGUGUAAAAUUUGUGGACGACUGUCUAAUUGAUGCAACAAGACAAACCGUCAAAACACUUGUAUUAGAGCAGUGGGCAUACAAGUAAUCCGUAAGAAAUGUGAAGGUUAAAGAUGGAGGUCGAAUUCCGGUGAGUACACCUGCUUGCAACUUCAUCUUCCCCUUCAAGAUGUCAGCAGAUGUGAAAGCAACAGUUUUUAAGAUAUGUUGGCCAGAAACAGUUUCUAAAAUCUUUGAUGCCAUGGUUGAUGGGAAUGGGAGGAGAUGCCAUGAUGAUUGCCUCCGUUUCCAUAACAAAAUCAGGCUACAUUCUUUUCAUUCAAAUAACUUGUCAGAAUUCCCUCGAUAUCGCCAUGAUGUUAAAAACGUUAAAUAGGAUCAUGUUCUAAUUCUUCGCCUUUUGGGUUCUUACACUAAUUGUUUUCGGUGUCGUAUGUUUUCUAUGAACAAGAUGUGGGGAGUCUCUUAGCUAAAAACGAUCAUUACGAUUGAGGAAAUGAA